GCUAAGCUAGCUCUGAGAGGUUCAGUAAAAGACUAAUUAAUGUAAUAAAAACACGGCAAUGUUCGCGGUAUUUCGGUUCCUUAUGUAUCGGUAGAUAUUCGACAGCAUAUGUGCGACCAUUUACUCCAUAAUACGAGCUGUUCCAGCCGCAGGAGGGUUUUAGAGCCCAGAGUGACAGGAUGUAAUCGGAGGUGGAGCGUGGGGAGAGAAAGAGGGCAGCCAUCUUGGAUUUCUCAUCUUCGCCUGACGAGAUAGAUUACCCCCGUUGCAUUCCUCUGACUAAAAGCAUUUCACUUGAACCUGGCAAACAUUAUUCCAGCUUUGCCCUGCUGCUACAUCAGAUACUUGGAUACAGGAUGAACUGCCUCAGUUUGGAGCAAGAAGUUGAGAUCAGCAGGACCCCAGCUGGUGAGGUGGGUUGGCAGACAGGCUGAGAAAAGACAGCCAGGUCAGAGGAAAGAGAGAAUUAGGCUGCUGUCUGUAUCCUGAAGCAGCCACUCACCUCUGGCCGACAUCCACCCUGGAGAAAAGACAGCCAGGUCAGAGGAAAGAGAGAAUUAGACUCUACUGUUUAUAUCCUGGAGCAGACACUCACCUCUGGCCGACAUCCACCCUGGGUGAGCAGCCACUGGAGGCAGGCCAGGUUGCC